GGCACAGGAGGCAAGUGGCAAGGGGGGGUGGGGCAGGAAAAGGGGCACGGGGCAAGCUGUCUGCCUUCCAGCCAUUGAUUUCCCUGUCACUACUUUCUCUGUGGCAGUGAUGGAAGGGAUGAAUUUAAGAGGGCCCUCAAGUAACUAGAUUUUAGACAUGCAAAGUUAAAACAAAUUUAUAAUUUUCUAUGUCUAGUAUCUAAUUAUUUGGGCGGGUCAUCUUAAAUUCAGGGUUAUCUUAGAUUUGGGUUAAUAUGGUAUUUGCCCCUACCCAACCAAGUAGCACAUAAUAGAAGAGGAUUUCCCAAUCCAGAAGAACAUGCAAGUAGAUGUUAUGAUGGGAACAUUGAUGCUGUAAUUACCAAAGUUCAACUUCAGCCAUAUUAGGGUAGCUAACACCUUUCCCUGUGUAGAAUGAUCCGCUGCUCUGGUAUUUGCUGUUUUAAUGUGUUUAAGCAUAGUAGGCAUUGCAUUUUGUAAUGGUUUACCAUAGUCUCUAGGGGGCCUUCUGUAAAUGAUGAAUCAGAAAUAGAUCUGACCGACUAGGCAAGGCCAGGCCUUUGCCAACUGUUCAGUUAAAAACUCGCAAGUUGAAUGAGAAUGUGUACCCUUCAUCUCAAAAAAUUCAGCUGAAGCUCACCAGAAACAAGCCCAAUCUGCCUGUUAAGUUCUUCCUAGACUAAUACAAAAGAGGUUACACUCUCUCUAGCCCAGAGUAUUAGGACCAUAAGGAUUCAGAUCCAGGAUGGCUGGGUUGCAGAUGGAGGCUAGGUCCUCAGUGGCACCGCAGAACUGAUCAGACACCAGCCCCAGCCCAGCCUGGUUCCUCCCAUGAGGAUGAUAAUGAGAAGUCAAGUGACCAGGGAGAACUGCAGGCACCUGACAGGAGGACUAUGAAACUCCUUCCAUUUCCUAUGGAACUUGUCCCAGCAAUAGUGCUUGCGUGUGUGCUCCUUGGAUAUUUGCCUUGUUCCUGCUGUGUUCUUGUUUGCUCUAGCUGACUCAGAACUGUCCCUACCCAAAAUGUGUUCCUACCUCUUGGCUCUGAUCUACCUUCCUCUCACACCACAAUACUUCAACCCUUGGCCUGAAGUCGUGGACCUUGAUUAAUACCUGCUGUGACCCUCCACAUGUCAGAUUUGGAUUGUGAGUAUCAUUGCAACAGCUGCCAGAGCCCUUGCAGAAGCAUUGUUGAUCCUCUUCAGCUGCUGGAGCUGUGGUUCUGGAACCUAGGUAGUUAACGGCAUUUGCCUCCCCCCAUUCUUCUUACCCACCACCAAAAUGUGGGUUUCUAGUCACCCCUGGACACUAAAAUUGGUUGCAGAGGAAAAGGGGAAGAGGAGCAGCAGUGGUGUUAACUCCCUAGGUGUUGCAGCUGCAGUGAAACCAGUGGGUGUGGGAGCUGCAGGGAUACAAAAAAGCCAGAAAAAUAUUACCCAAUAUCAGGCACAUAAGCAUCCAUCCAACAUCUGGUUUCAGUUUGCCAUUGCCAAUCACAUGUUGUCCAAUCCCACAGGAAACCCCACUGUCUGGAUUUGGCCAAGCAAGUUUGACACCCCUGCUUGCUGCUCGAGGUGCAGGACAUGUCUUGCUUUAGCUUUUAAUUCCUCGUGCUAAAUAGGACUGUGGAGGUUUGGAAAUAAUUCACCUUUUGUUGGAUAUGAUCUCGUCCCUGUCUCUACUUGUCACUCCACAGCAGCAAUAAAUGUAUCCCAUUCAACUCUGGACUCCAGAUCAGAACCAUACCUUUAUUUUAAAAAGUGUCAAAUUUUACACUGGUGCUUGAUUUCAUGUUCAUUUUUAGCAGGUAUUUGGCUUGUUUCAGCAUUAAUCCAUUUCUUUAAAUGGGAGAAUAAAUACUGGGUUGCAUGAGCCUUUUUCUCUGUAAGUUAAAAAAAAAUAUGAACUUGUUCUGAAAAAUGGCAUCUGUUAAGUAGGAGCUCAGAGGUCAAGAUUUUGCAAUCCAUUGUCAUAUGUGUAACCACAGCUGUUGACACUGGAUUUGGACCCAGCAUCUAUACCUUUGUUCUGGGCAGGCACAACCCUCAGACCGACCACAACACCUGACAGUUGAUAAUAGGUGAAUGUAUUGAUACAGAGUAAAAACAAAAAGCAACAAUGCAAACAAUCAAACAUUCUAUAUCUACCAAUCCUAGGGUUGUCAUCAGAGUCAAAGUACCUCUGGCCGGGAUGCAGGCUCAACUCUGAGGCUCUUUCUCUUAGAUGUCAGCAGUCUGGAGUUGGGAUGCCAAGGCCCACAACCCCCCUCCAGUGGGGUGCAUGAGACGGGCUGCUGGUAUGCCCUUGGUCCAGGGUGGCCCCAAGGACCCUUUCCAGGGGAUGGGGAUGGGAACCCCUGUCAAGGAAGAGAAGGAGGGAGGAAUGGACAAAGGGACAGAGAGAGAUGGGACAAAGGGAGGGGACCCUUUGUUACUCUUAAGUCUCUGCUUUUGUAUUCUCCUCCUUUGAUGACUCUCAUCCGUGGCUGCCUCUGGUUGGUUGUCUGUCUGUGGUCACAUGCCCACGGAGUCUUCUGGGCCUUCUCCUAAUUUAGUCUGUUCCCCACAAACUGGGACUUAGACCCCCCUGCUCUUUGAGGCCUUGUUGCUGGUGUCACUUAUCUUGUGUUAUGGGACAAUAUGGUACAUACUUCUUUGGUUCCCAGGCUGUGUCCUUGUUGUGUUAGGCAACCUGUCUGCUUUGAAGGUCGUGAUCUCAUGUUAUGGGAUGCCCUGCCUAAUUCUCAGGCUGCAUCCAUCCGUUGGCCUUGUUGUGCUAGACAGCCCACCAGCUUUCAGGGCCAUGAGAAGCUGUGUGCGUGUCUCCCAAGCUCUUUAGAAAUCCAUUUAGCCCUUGCUGCCUACCUUGACCCCUUAUAAUGCAUAUCUCUAUACCUAUAAACUAAUUCCCCAAAAACUUGGCCUUUAAAUACUGUUUCUAAGCCAACAACAGCAACUUCUGCUUCCAUUCAUGUGGAUGAGAUGCAGCUUGAUUUUCUCUACAUAAAUGUUUGUAGGAUGCUAUUUUUUCACAAACACAAAGGAAGCCCAGAAAUUCCAUAUGGAUUUCAAAACUCAUCUUCUGCAAUCAGCGGGCAUUUUUUAUAUGUGAUUCCAAUGUGGCACUGGGUGCUUUAAUUAGCAAGCCGUGCUAAUUAAAAGUGCCCAUGCAUCAUGUUUAUGAGCCUUGCCACAUGUCCCUGUGCUGAAAAAAUGGUUGUGAUGCACUUUGAACUGAAGCUCACUGGAUGUGUUUUAUUUCAAAGCAAACUGCCACCACUUUGUCAGUGCAGAGGUGCUGAUAUAUGUGAUGCGCAAGGCUGCUGGAGCACGUUAAUGUCCAUGCUCCAGCAGACUUGAUUAAUCAAGUCUGCCCUGAUGCGCUAGAUUUCCAACAUGUUGAACCAGGCUCCCCACAUGUGUAGGAGCCUGGUCGUAACAGUCAUACAGAAAGUUCUUCUUACAGGGAAUAAAGUACUAAGUGAAUUGGCUGAUGUUUUCAUAGUGUGCUUGGAAUAAAGAAUGUGGCAUGACAAACUGAAACAGGAUGUUGAACAGAUGCUAAUAUGCCUGAUGUUGGGUAAUAUUUUUCUGGCUUUUUUGUACCCUGCAACUUUUGAUCACAAAUGAUCAGUGUUUACACAUCAUCUGUUAGAAAAGGGUAAUUGAGUGUUUAAUGGGAAAUGCAGCCCCUAGAUCUGAAAAUUAUUUUCAAAAUGGGAUCGAAACCCACCCUAAGGUAUGUCCUACUAAAAUCCAUUUAAACCAGAAAAGUUGUUUGGGGAAACAUGUGUACUGCUAGUUUAGUUUCAGAGUGUGUCAUUUGACACGCUAAUGUCCAACUGAUUUAUGUCUCAGGCAUUAUUUGUCUAACAUCUUGGAAGCUUUUCCAGAUGGAUCAGCAGUUAAAGAAAACGGCUGCAUUCCCACACUGUAUUAAUUUGAGUUGCUCCUGUAAUCCAAAUACUAUGCUUCCUGGCCUUAACUUUGAGCACACUUUAAUUACAAAUUGGAAGUCUAAUACAGCUACAUAACUACCCAGGGGCGAUGCACCUUUCAUUAGGCACUUGAAUUAGUCACCUCUGAACCCUUCAAAUAAACGACUGUGUAAUGCAUCCAGUAUAAAUUUUUUAGCCAGAAGAAAUUUUGCUUUAUUGCUCAUCACUUUGUUUAGAUCUUGACAGAUGCUUUUACCAGAAAAGGUGGCUCAUCAUCAGACACCAGGCAGUGACUAACAAGCCGCCUUUCAACACUUUCUUUUCCCCUCCCAGUCAUCUGUUUUCUUUACUCUAGGGUUUUUUGCCUGAAGUCACUUGACUGUGGGGUACUGCUGCUUCACAGAUUGACCAGAGGUUUUUGAAACAAGGGAGUAUGCUGACAGGACAGAACAUGGACAGUAUGAUGACUACAGGGAAACCACUCAACAACACCCAGAGAUGAAGAGUCAUCCGAGGGGAGAGAGAAUACAAAAGGAGGAAUUUUAGAGCAGCAAAAGGUCCCUGAGAGGGGAACCCGAGGCCACCAUGGACAGAGGGCACACCACCAACCUGUCUCAUCCAUUCCGCCCCUCUCCCCCCACACUGGGGGAAGUGGGGGGCCUCGGCCUUCAACCUCUAGGCUGCUGACAUCUGAUAUUCAAGAAGGAACCUCAGGAUGAAGCUUGCAUAAUGGCCAGAUGUAUUUCCCCUCUGUGACAGCUCUAGGACUGUAGAUACAGAACUGUUUGAAUUAUUCUUAUCCACUAUCAUUGUGUAUCAAUAAAAUUUGCCUGCUAUUGAAUGGA